rnacentral:rRNA from 1 species
UCAAGUGCCUUAAGGGUAUUCGGUGGAUGCCUUGGCGCUGAGAGGCGAUGAAGGACGUGGUACGCUGCGAUAAGCCGUGGGGAGCUGCGAACAAGCUUUGAUCCGCGGAUUUCCGAAUGGGGAAACCCACCUUCGAUCUCUGUUAUUCCGAGGAAAUCUCUAGCCUGCACAAAGGCUCUGAGGUUUUCGUGCGGUUUUGGAAUGUCUGAAGACGCAUGUCCUCGGACUAACAGAGAUCAUGAGAAGGUAUUUGUAUCUGAAUACAUAGGAUACAAAAGCAAACCCGGGGAACUGAAACAUCUAAGUACCCGGAGGAAAGGACAUCAACGAGACUCCGUUAGUAGUGGCGAGCGAACGCGGACCAGGCCAGUUCUUGUGUGUUUCUAAUCAGAACCGAUUGGAAAGUCGGGCCGUAGUGGGUGAUAGCCCCGUAUGGAUUUCGAAGCACAUGAGACAUGAGUAGGGCGGGACACGUGCAAUCCUGUCUGAAGAUGGGGAGACCACUCUCCAAGCCUAAGUACUCCUCAGCGACCGAUAGUGAACCAGUACCGUGAGGGAAAGGUGAAAAGCACCCCGACGAGGGGAGUGAAACAGUUCCUGAAACCGGAUACCUACAAACAGUAGGAGCCCAAGGUUCGUCCUGGGUGACUGCGUACCUUUUGUAUAAUGGGUCAGCGACUUAAAGUAACGAGCAAGCUUAAGCCGAUAGGCGUAGGCGCAGCGAAAGCGAGUCUGAACAGGGCGUUCAGUUCGUUGCUUUAGACCCGAAACCGAGUGAUCUAGCCAUGAGCAGGUUGAAGGUGCAGUAACAUGCACUGGAGGACCGAACCGGUGUCUGUUGAAAUAGACUCGGAUGACUUGUGGUUAGGGGUGAAAGGCCAAACAAACUCGGAAAUAGCUGGUUCUCCGCGAAAGCUAUUUAGGUAGCGCCUCGCACGAAUACUCCAGGGGGUAGAGCACUGGAUGGGCUAGGGGGUCCCACAGACUUACCAAACCUAACCAAACUCCGAAUACCUGGAAGUAGUAUGCGGGAGACACACAGUGGGUGCUAACGUCCAUUGUGGAGGAGGGAAACAACCCAGACCAACAGCUAAGGCCCCCAAUUCGUGGCUAAGUGGGAAAGGAUGUAGAAAUCCCAAAACAACCAGGAGGUUGGCUUAGAAGCAGCCAUCCUUUAAAGAAAGCGUAACAGCUCACUGGUCUAAAUAAGGGUUUCCGCGCCGAAGAUGUACCGGGGCUCAAGCCACGAGCCGAAGCUUUGGGCUCACCGCAAGGUGAGCGGUAGCGGAGCGUUCCGUAAGCCCGUGAAGGGACAGCCGUGAGGCAUCCUGGAGGUAUCGGAAGUGCGAAUGCUGACAUGAGUAACGAGAAACACUGUGAAAGACAGUGUCGCCGAAAGUCCAAGGUUCCUGCGUAAAGUUAAUCUUCGCAGGGUUAGCCGGCCCCUAAGGCGAGGCCGAAAGGCGUAGUCGAUGGGAACCACGUUAAUAAUCGUGGGCCAGCAGGUGGUGACGCGUGGGGUAAAUCGUUCGGACUUACUGGAUUGUCCGGGCGGUGAACCCGCGCCAGGAAAUAGCCCUGCAUCAGACCGUACCCGAAACCGACACAGGUGGACAGGUAGAGUAUACCAAGGCGCUUGAGAGAAUGACGCUGAAGGAACUCGGCAAUUUACCUCCGUAACUUCGGAAUAAGGAGGCCUUCCGUUCGCGCAAGCGGGCGGGAGGGCACAGACCAGGGGGUGGCAACUGUUUACCAAAAACACAGGGCUCUGCGAAAUCGCAAGAUGACGUAUAGGGUCUGACGCCUGCCCGGUGCCGGAAGGUUAAGAGGAGGAGUGCAAGCUCUGAAUUGAAGCCCCGGUAAACGGCGGCCGUAAAUAUAACGGUCCUAAGGUAGCGAAAUUCCUUGUCGGGUAAGUUCCGACCUGCACGAAUGGCGUAAUGACUUCCCCGCUGUCUCCAGCGUCAGCUCAGUGAAAUUGAAUUCCCCGUGAAGAUGCGGGGUUCCUGCGGUCAGACGGAAAGACCCCGUGCACCUUUACUGUAACUUUGCACUGCAUUCGUGUCGGCAUGUGUAGGAUAGGUGGUAGGCGUUGAAGCAUGGGCGCCAGCUCGUGUGGAGCCACCCUUGAAAUACCACCCUUAUCGUCAUGGAUGUCUAACCGCGCUCCGUCAUCCGGGCCGGGACAGUGCAUGGUAGGCAGUUUGACUGGGGCGGUCGCCUCCCAAAGAGUAACGGAGGCGCGCGAUGGUGGGCUCAGAGCGGUCGGAAAUCGCUCGUCGAGUGCAAUGGCAUAAGCCUGCCUGACUGCGAGACAGACAAGUCGAGCAGAGACGAAAGUCGGUCAUAGUGAUCCGGUGGUCCCUCGUGGAAGGGCCAUCGCUCAACGGAUAAAAGGUACGCCGGGGAUAACAGGCUGAUAACCCCCAAGAGUCCAUAUCGACGGGGUUGUUUGGCACCUCGAUGUCGGCUCAUCACAUCCUGGGGCUGGAGAAGGUCCCAAGGGUUCGGCUGUUCGCCGAUUAAAGUGGUACGUGAGCUGGGUUCAGAACGUCGU